rnacentral:rRNA from 1 species
UGCCCAGUGUACACAUUAUAAAUGGCCGCAGUACCCUGACUGUGAUAAGGUAGCAUAAUCAAUUGGCUUUUAAUUGAAGUCUGGAAUGAAAGAAUAAAUGAAGUUAUUCUCUCUUAAAAGUACUAUUAAAAAGUUAUUCAUUAGGUGAAAAUACCUAAAUUUAAAUAAAAGACGAGAAGACCCUAAGAGUUUUUAAUAAAAAUAAUGUAUAUUAUUUAUUUUUUUGUUGGGGCGACAGUUUAGCAUUUUAAACCUAAUUUUUGUACAAGGCGAUUAUUUUAAGAAAGAAAAAACUACCUUAGGGAUAACAGCAUAAUUUUUAAAAAAGUUUGUGACCUCGAUGUUGGACUAGGAACUUUAUGGCUAGCAGUCAAAAAAGA